rnacentral:lncRNA from 1 species
AUUUACUUCUUGUGUGCACAAGAUUUCAUAUUCGAGAAAUGGCAAAACAAAUCAGACACAGUACAUCAUGUAUGUUGUGCUGUCAGUGUUACAUAAUGAAAAUAUUACAUUUUUUGCAUAACAAAUUAUUAGUUUGAUUAGUUUUGAAUCUGUACAAGUUUUGAAUUCAUAUGAAGCAUACUGUCUUAAGUUGAUAAUGGCAAAUAUGAUGCAAAUUUAUAAUGGCUUUUCAUAAUAGUACAUCAGUUGCUUUAGAAUUGUACCCUAUAUGCAAAUACAUUUAAUACAAUUAAAGUAUUUUAUGUUGUGUAUGUAACUUUUGGGAUUUUUUUUUAUGUUAU